GACGAACGCGGCGGCGUGCUUAACACAUGCAAGUCGAACGAAGAGCGAUGGAAGCUUGCUUCUAUCAAUCUUAGUGGCGAACGGGUGAGUAACGCGUAAUCAACCUGCCCUUCAGAGGGGGACAACAGUUGGAAACGACUGCUAAUACCGCAUACGAUCUAAUCUCGGCAUCGAGGAUAGAUGAAAGGUGGCCUCUACAUGUAAGCUAUCACUGAAGGAGGGGAUUGCGUCUGAUUAGCUAGUUGGAGGGGUAACGGCCCACCAAGGCGAUGAUCAGUAGCCGGUCUGAGAGGAUGAACGGCCACAUUGGGACUGAGACACGGCCCAGACUCCUACGGGAGGCAGCAGUGGGGAAUCUUCCGCAAUGGACGAAAGUCUGACGGAGCAAACGCCGCGUGAGUGAUGACGGGCCUUUCGGGGUUGUAAAAGGCUCUG
rnacentral:rRNA from 1 species